CCAGCGGAGGGAUCAUUAUCGAGUUACCUUGCUCACAAACCCUUAUGUGAACGUACCGAGUCGUUGCGUUGGCCAGGUGCCUCUGGGCGCCGGGCCAGUGUGGCCUCUUCAAACUCUUUUGUCUUCAGUAGAACUACAAAUGCUGAGUGCAAACAUACAAACAAGUCAAAACUUUCAACAACGGAUCUCUUGGCUCUGGCAUCGAUGAAGAACGCAGCAAAAUGCGAUAAGUAAUGUGAAUUGCAGAAUUCCGCGAAUCAUCGAAUCUUUGAACGCACAUUGCGCCCGGUGGUAUUCCGCCGGGCAUGCCUGUUCGAGCGUCAUUUCAACCCUCAAGCACUCGCUUGGUGUUGGGAGGACCCGGUGGCUUGUUCCACGGGACCCCCCGAAAUGAAGUGGCUGCCCCAGACGGCUGCACCUUGCGUAGUAAAGCAUUUGCUCUCGCAACGGCGCGCGUCCGGUGGCAUCGGCCGUCAAACCCAAUUCUAUUUUUUUGUGGUUGACCUCGAAUCAGGUAG
rnacentral:rRNA from 1 species